rnacentral:rRNA from 1 species
GACGAACGCUGGCGGCGUGCUUAACACAUGCAAGUCGAACGGAAAGGCCCUGCUUUUGUGGGGUGCUCGAGUGGCGAACGGGUGAGUAACACGUGAGUAACCUGCCCUUGACUUUGGGAUAACUUCAGGAAACUGGGGCUAAUACCGGAUAGGAGCUCCUGCUGCAUGGUGGGGGUUGGAAAGUUUCGGCGGUUGGGGAUGGACUCGCGGCUUAUCAGCUUGUUGGUGGGGUAGUGGCUUACCAAGGCUUUGACGGGUAGCCGGCCUGAGAGGGUGACCGGCCACAUUGGGACUGAGAGACGGACCAGACUCGUACGGGAGGCAGCAGUGGGGAGUAUUGCACAAUGGGCGGGAGCCUGAUGCAGCAACGCCGCGUGCGGGAUGACGGCCUUCGGGUUGUAAACCGCUUUCGCCUGUGACGAAGCGGGAGUGACGGUAAUGGGUAAAGAAGCACCGGCUAACUACGUG